UCAAGCUAAUAAGAGCACAGGGUGGAUGCCCAGGCACCAAACGCCGAAGAAAGACGUGGCAAGCUGCGAAAAGUCACGGGGAACCGCAAGCAGGUAUUGAUCCGUGAACGUCUGAAUGGGGAAACCCGGCGGGUUAACAGCCCGUCACUAUUAACUGAAUCAAUAGGUUAAUAGGGGGAACGCGGGGAACUGAAACAUCUCAGUACCCGUAGGAAGAGAAAAUAAAGAAUGAUUUCCUAAGUAGCGGCGAGCGAACGGGAAAGAGGCCAAACCGAAGGGCUUGCUCUUCGGGGUUGUGGAUCAGCAAAAAGGACGGAAGACCUUAGCAGAAGAGGAUUGGAAAGUCCCGCCAGAGAGGGUAAAAGCCCCUUACGCGAAAAGGUCAAACGACGAGCUGACACCAGAGUACCGCAGGACACGAGAAAUCCGGUGGGAAGCCGGGAGGACCACCUCCCAAGCCUAAAUACGAAUUGGUGACCGAUAGCGCAUAGUACCGUGAGGGAAAGGUGAAAAGAACCCCGGGAGGGGAGUGAAAAAGAACCUGAAACCCUGUGUUUACAAGCAGUGAAAGUGCGAGCAAGGCACGAUCACGUACUUUUUGUAGAACGGACCGGCGAGUUACGUUAUGCAGCAAGGUUAAGAACUGAAGGUUCGGAGCCGAAGCGAAAGCGAGUCUGAAUAGGGCGAUAGUUGCAUGACGUAGACCCGAAACCGGGUGACCUAUCCAUGAGCAGGUUGAAGUGGAGGUAAAGCUCCAUGGAGGACCGAACCAGACGUCUGUUGAAAAAGGCGGGGAUGACUUGUGGAUAGGGGAGAAAUUCCAAUCGAACCCGGAGAUAGCUGGUUCUCCUCGAAAUAGCUUUAGGGCUAGCCUCAUGGAUCAUUGGUGGGGGUAGAGCACUGAAUGUGCGCGGGGGCCACAAAGCCUACCAAACGCUAUCAAACUACGAAUACCAUACAAUGCAGACCAUGGGAGUCAGUCCGCGAGAGAUAAGUUCCGCGGGCAAAAGGGGAACACCCCAGAUCAACCGCUAAGGUCCCCAAGUUCACGUUAAGUGGAGAAGGAUGUGGAAUUGCACAGACAACCAGGAUGUUGGCUCAGAAGCAGCCACACAUUUAAAGAGUGCGUAAUAGCUCACUGGUCGAGUGAUUGUGCGCCGAAGAUGUCCGGGGCUAAACGUGACACCGAAGCGAUGGGUGCGUCUGAAGAAGAUGCGCGGUAGAGGAGCAAUGUGCAGAGGCAGAAGCCGUAUCGAGAGGCACGGUGGACACUGCACAAGAGAGAAUGCCGGUAUGAGUAGCGAGAGGCAUGCGAGAAACAUGCCCGUCGAAAGCCCAAGGUUUCCUGGGGAAGGUUCAUCCGCCCAGGGUAAGUCGGGGCCUAAGCCGAGGACGGAAGUCGUAGGCGAUGGACAGCAGGUGUAGAUUCCUGCACUACCGAUGGAAUGAAGCAGUGACACAGAAGGAUAACUCGAGCAGGGUGAUGGUCAACCCUGUGCAAGCAUCAAGGUUGGGUUGUAGUGAAGUACGCAACCCUAUAAGCUGAGGUGUGAUGCGGACCGAAAUUUCAGUAGGGAAGCGAGUGAGUUCACGCUGGCGAGAAAAGCUGCUAGUACAUCCAAAGGUACCCGUACCGGAAACCGACGCAGGUGGGCGAGGAGAGAAUCCUGAGACGAACGGGAGAACCCUUGUUAAGGAACUCGGCAAAAUGACCCCGUAACUUCGGGAUAAGGGGUGCCUGCGAGAGCAGGCCGCAGAGAAUAGUCACAAGCGACUGUUUAGCAAAAACACAGGUAUCUGCGAAAGCGAGAGCUGACGUAUAGGUGCUGACACCUGCCCGGUGCUGGAAGGUUAAGGGAACAUGUUAGAGCAAUCGAAGCAUCGAACCGAAGCCCCAGUAAACGGCGGCCGUAACUAUAACGGUCCUAAGGUAGCGAAAUUCCUUGUCGGGUAAGUUCCGACCCGC
rnacentral:rRNA from 1 species